GUCGUCCACUACCCCUGAUUGCAAAGAAAAAAACUAGGCCAUGCCCCCGGUCCGUUUCUCUCUCCUUCCGGCUGCUCGCAUCUCGCCGUUGCGGUUCCCCUCAAAAAAGAAAAAAUCUCGUCAAUGUGGAGGCAGCGGCAGCGAGCCAGCGACGGCGCCGGAGGGAUGACCCAACGGCGGGGACUACCUCUUCCGCGUGUGGAGUACUACCCUUUCCUCUUUCGUGCGGCAACGACUCGGAGGCACCGUGGGCGAUGCAAGAUCCGGGCGAGCUCGGCAGUGACAGCGACCUUCUCCGGCGUCCCUCUCCACUGUCGGCGUGCAGGGGAAGAGGAAGCAGACCAAGCAAGGAAAGGAAAUAUAAAUGAGGAGCUCGGGUGAUGGAGGUAAUGCUUGAGACGGACUCCUGGCGGUGGAAUCAAUUCAAGGAGGAGAUGAAGGUCAUGUGGAUGACAUAGAAGAAGAGGAGAAGCUCAAGGCCGCGGAGAAAGGAACAACAGUAGAGUAUCAGACUUCAAUCUAGCUGAGAUCAGUUUUUUUUUUGUCAUGGGACAUAUGAAUACUCUACUGAUUUUGCUUUUGUUUAAGUUUCACGAAUUUUCAUCCUUUAGCAAUAAAUGAUGGUUCUGACUUAAUUGAAGGUUAGCUGACAAUGCUAUCUGUAUAUUUAUGUUAUAAUCGAAAUUUGCACAUACAUACGAGCAAUAUUUCUUCAAUUAAAGAAUAUUCACUUUACGUGGAUUUUUAUUUUAUGCUAUUCUUAAGAUAAGAUUUUAAUCGAUGAUGCUAGUUUUAUGUUUUGUGAAUUUAUUAGGCAAUCAAGGAAUUGGAAUUCUGCCAAGAAAUCUAGGAGCAGAAGAUGUAUGCAAGGGACUUGGAGACGAGGCAAUGGUGCGCAGGCGAGAAAAUUAUGUUCUGAUUGGUUUUGAAGCUUUGGGAGCCUGCGACUGGCUCGAGGGGUGGCAUCAGCAAGCGCUGGCCGGCCUCGGCACUGCUGUGGGUGGUUAUAUGGUGGGCGGAGCACACCAUUGGGUUUCGACAUCAGGGUACGGUGGCGAGCUAAAUCUUCAGUCCAGCUAGGCUUUUUUUUGGUUCACGUUUUGUUACUGUUUUCCAUUCGGGAUUUCAUGGUGAGCAAACCUACCAUUUGCAGUUGUUUCUUUCAGAAAUUCAUGUCCUGACUUCAAAUUUUGGUCGUAAGGUAAAUCCUGCCAACAAGUCGAUGCUAUGGGUUUACUAGUUCUCUUAAUAUUUCUAUGCAAAUUAUUGCCCCCUUCAUUUCAUUUGCAAUUAGCAAGGAACUCAAAGACAGAUGUGUAUUUUCUCACGCGCAUUCUACUCCCUAGAUUGUUUGGGGCUUUGAGCAAUACAGAAUGGAAGAAUUUGUUACGUUCGUAUAGGUUUGUAUAGAAUGGCAUGGUAUCAACAACUAAUUAAUCUUCUCUAAAAAAACAACUAAUUAAUCUUUUGUAGUUGAGACUUGAGAUCCUGCUCACAUCUCUCUUGACCGCUUAUUAUCUUGUCCGCUAUCAUGCACCAUUAUUUGAUGAAUGAAAAUAUCACAGUAAAAUUUCGGCAGCACUAACUUUCCACAAAUCGACAGUUUCUGUAUAUCAAGGUUCCCUUCCCAUGACAGGAACAGAGUAGUCAUGAGGAGCUGCAAUGAUACGUGUACAUGUAACAGUUGCCAAAACUCUGAAACUAUUUCAGAAAUCAUUGCUCAAACUGUAUGGUCAUCCAGAUGAGGAUGUUGCAAAGGCUAACUGGAAACAUCUUUGCAGAAACUUUACGGUCAUCCAGAUGUUGAUUUUGCAACUCCUAAUUGGAACUACAAAUGUCUGCAGAUAGGCGAGAACAGUGUCCAUCUCAAGAUCGAUGGGAGAGUGUUGCACUACAGAAAGAUAGUCUUGUCACUACAGAUAGAUAGUCUUGUCUGUAGAUAUUGAAUAUUUAGAUGCUACUUUCUCAAAUAGCUUACUGAAUUUAUUGUCUGUAUGAUUGUGUAUGACGAACUCUGAUCGUGUUUGUUCAUUGUAAACCGACCUAGUUGUGUAAUGAAAUUCAAGUGCUUUUUGGGUAGUUCUCAUGUAGCCCAGUGUAUCAAUGUAAUACUUAUGUCUUCACAACAACUCACAAGAAUAUUUUUGUGUGUGGUCUAGAGCUAAUGAGUUGAACACAAAGAAUCUUUUUGUGUGUGGUCAGCUAAUGGGUUGAGCACAAGACGUGAUGAUCCGGUAGACAGUGCUACAAAACGCUGGAGGAGAAUCAAAAGGAGGACUCCCAAACCAAUAACUCAACAUUAUUUUUCUUAGAUACACUCAACAAGACACUUAUUGAUAAGCCUAUCAUCAUUUUCUGAAAGCAUACACAGAUUAGAAGAAUGAACUUCGAGUGGUACUUCUACAAGGAAAUUUGACAACCGCUCGCAUGGAGCAAUUUUAUCGACAUAAUAAUUCAAAUGGUAAAUGCAUUGCACCCCCGAUAAAAAUAUUCACUACAUCAUGAAAAAUAUGGCAGUGAAAUCUUGGCCUUAUUAAAAAAUUUAUUUGCAUCCAGAUAUUUUGUCAGAUGAAUAACCAAAAAUCGGCUGAAUGACAUGUUCCAUAUAUGGCAUACAAAUUCAGAGUUAUUCUAUCUUCUUCUAGCAUUGGCAGAUUCAGUCAAGCUUCUGAAUUUGCGCAAGCAUCGACAGGUCGAGUGACUGCAUAUGAUUCUUUUUGUUGCCUUGUUCUAGUCGGUGACACGAGCAUCUCGGUGUUGCAGCACCACCACUCCACACGUGCUUCCUCGCAACACAUUCCUUGGUGGCCCUGCAUCUGUAGAACCCCU